rnacentral:rRNA from 1 species
GUCAGCUCGUGUCGUGAGAUGUUGGUUAGUCCGCAACGAGCGCAACCCUCGACCUUAGUUGCCAGCAUUCAGUUGGGCACUCUAAGGUGGACUGCCGGCUAAAAGUCGGAGGAAGGUGGGGAUGACGUCAAAUCAUCAUGCCCCUUAUGACCUGGGCUACACACGUGCUACAAUGGGCGGUACAAAGGGUCGCGAACCCGCGAGGGGGAGGCCAAUCCCAAAAAGCCGCUCUCAGUUCGGAUUGCAGGCUGCAACUCGCCUGCAUGAAGCCGGAAUCGCUAGUAAUCGCGGAUCAGCAUGCCGCGGUGAAUACGUUCCCGGGCCUU